rnacentral:rRNA from 1 species
UACGAAGGGGGCUAGCGUUGCUCGGAAUCACUGGGCGUAAAGCGCACGUAGGCGGAUUGUUAAGUCAGGGGUGAAAUCCUGGAGCUCAACUCCAGAACUGCCUUUGAUACUGGCGAUCUUGAGUCCGGGAGAGGUGAGUGGAACUGCGAGUGUAGAGGUGAAAUUCGUAGAUAUUCGCAAGAACACCAGUGGCGAAGGCGGCUCACGGGCUCGGUACUGACGCUGAGGUGCGAAAGCGUGGGGAGCAAACAGGG